ACUUAGAUGGAACCUAUAUAUACUGCUGAAUGCAAUUAUUGGACAGCUAGAUUAGUUGUUUGAGGUGAUUAGAUGUAACUUACAAGCUAAUCUCUACUUUGAGGUGAUCUUUGGGGGAAAAAUCUUGCUUGCACUCUUGAAAAGAUAUGCUUCUAGUGCGUCAAGAAGGUCGGGAUCACUAGAGAUGUUUUCACAGGCAACAGAUAUAUAAAAGAUUGCAGUACUACAUCAAUGGAGCUUGCAGCAAUAGUCAUGGUCCAUGAUGCAACAUUAGCUACACUACCUGGAAAGUGGCCAUUUCCUCCUGAAGCAGAGACAAAAAUUACUUUGUGAAAUGCAUGGAAGCUUCCUAUUGAAACCAGAUCCAUGAAAUAGUCACGCAUAUGCCAAGUGGUUAUUACUAGACAGAGAUCCCCAUAUGCCUCUAAAUGCUACCAUUACUGCAACACAAGGUAGCCGGUGAUGGAGCUCAUAUCUACGGAAACACAUGCUGACUUAUAUCCAAGGCUAGGUUCAUUAAUUUUCGGGAGAUUGCAACUAAAGGUAGAUUAGUUUAAGUUUUAUUUAUUGUAUGUAUUUUAGGUAUUUAUAUAUUUGGGAUUUGCCACCCUCACGGGAAAAUAUUGGUGGAUAUUAGAUGGUAUACGUGGUACUUGGUUGUAACAGUGAUUAUUAGUUUGUAAUGAAAACUUUUAUUUACAAAUA